GUUAAGCAUCAGAAUUUACGUAAGACACCCAAAUGGUUAUACUUGUGGGCUGUUGCUAUUUUUUUGGAUGGCGCACUGGAUGCAUUAUAAGUUCAGUAUGGCUGAUUCUAUACUACGGAUUAAUGGCAUACUUUAUGCACUAUCAAAUGAUCCAUUCUCAAAAGGCUAUCAUAGACUUAAAUACUCGCGAAUAUAAAAAGGAAACUACAGGCUAUUGGGUAUUGGGCGUUUCGUUCAUCCUCAUGGCUUUUGUAACUGUGUUUCUGUUGAUCGGAGCUAUCACGAGGAAAUAUGAAUUUCUUUUUCUGUUUUUACUGGCGCAAUUGCCUUCCUUUUUAGUGGAAUCAUUCUAUCUGUUGACAGCCAUUAUAUACGGCAUAGAAUUCGAAAGUUUUAUAAUAUAUCUUGUUCCCUUUGGAAUUUUAAUUUACAUCGAUCUAGUUGUUUGCUCAUAUGUGUAUGAACUAAAAAGUCUUAAAAGGAUGAGAUCUGUGUCACAAUUUAACAUAGAAUAUUGAGAUCAUUUUGCAAAUUUAGAGUUUAUUAUAAAUUUGUUCGGCGUCCAAUGCUUGUGUAUAUAUUUUUAUACGACUUAAGAUCAAAUACCACUUUUUCCGGUAGAACACACAAAAGACAGCGAUAAGGUUGGAUGACUUGAGAGCAGGAAAACAUGUCAAGAAAUAAAAACAAAAAUGAUUUAUCAUAAUGGGAGUUGGAGUCUGACUCGGGGUCCAAUUCGGAAUUGGAAUUGGGGUUGGAGUCCGAGUUGGAGUCUGAGCUCCCAGCGACGUUGCCUAAACGGGCGAUAACGGCCAAGACGAAGACCAAGUCGAGGACGGCAUGCGGCUGCUGAUGGCUGAUGGCGACGAACGUGGAGAUAUCGGGCCAAGAACGGUGCGUCUGGAUGU